rnacentral:rRNA from 1 species
GAACUAAGCAUAUCAAUAAGCGGAGGAAAAGAAACCAACAGGGAUUGCCCUAGUAACGGCGAGUGAAGCGGCAACAGCUCAAAUUUGAAAUCUGGCUCUUUCAGAGUCCGAGUUGUAAUUUGCAGAGGGCGCUUUGGCUUUGGCAGCGGUCCAAGUUCCUUGGAACAGGACGUCACAGAGGGUGAGAAUCCCGUACGUGGUCGCUAGCUAUUGCCGUGUAAAGCCCCUUCGACGAGUCGAGUUGUUUGGGAAUGCAGCUCUAAAUGGGAGGUAAAUUUCUUCUAAAGCUAAAUAUUGGCCAGAGACCGAUAGCGCACAAGUAGAGUGAUCGAAAGAUGAAAAGCACUUUGGAAAGAGAGUCAAACAGCACGUGAAAUUGUUGAAAGGGAAGCGCUUGCAGCCAGACUUGCUUGCAGUUGCUCAUCCGGGCUUUUGCCCGGUGCACUCUUCUGUAGGCAGGCCAGCAUCAGUUUGGGCGGUGGGAUAAAGGUCUCUGACACGUUCCUUCCUUCGGGUUGGCCAUAUAGGGGAGACGACAUACCACCAGCCUGGACUGAGGUCCGCGCAUCUGCUAGGAUGCUGGCGUAAUGGCUGUAAGCGGCCCGUCUUGAAACACGGACCAAGGAGUCUAACAUCUAUGCGAGUGUUUGGGUGUCAAGCCCGAACGCGUAAUGAAAGUGAACGGAGGUGGGAACCCGCAAGGGCGCACCAUCGACCGAUCCUGAAGUUUACGGAAGGAUUUGAGUAAGAGCAUGGCUGUUGGGACCCGAAAGAUGGUGAACUAUGCUUGAAUAGGGUGAAGCCAGAGGAAACUCUGGUGGAGGCUCGCAGCGGUUCUGACGUGCAAAUCGAUCGUCAAAUUUGGGCAUAGGGGCGAAAGACUAAUCGAACUAUCUAGUAGCUGGUUCCUGCCGAGU